rnacentral:rRNA from 1 species
AUUGAACGCUGGCGGAAUGCUUUACACAUGCAAGUCGAACGGCAGCACGGGUGCUUGCACCUGGUGGCGAGUGGCGAACGGGUGAGUAAUACAUCGGAACGUACCCAGUCGUGGGGGAUAACGUAGCGAAAGUUACGCUAAUACCGCAUACGUCCUGAGGGAGAAAGCGGGGGACCGUAAGGCCUCGCGCGAUUGGAGCGGCCGAUGGCGGAUUAGCUAGUUGGUGGGGUAAAGGCCUACCAAGGCGACGAUCCGUAGCGGGUCUGAGAGGACAGCACGCCACACUGGAACUGCGACACGGGCCAGACUCCUACGGGAGGCAGCAGUGGGGAAGUUUGGACAAUGGGCGAAAGCCUGAUCCAGCCAUUCCGCGUGAGUGAAGAAGGCCUUCGGGUUGUAAAGCUCUUUCGGCAGGGAAGAAACGGCUUGGGAUAAUACCCCGGGCUAAUGACGGUACCUGAAGAAGAAGCACCGGCUAACUACGUGCCAGCAGCCGCGGUAA